GUCUCUUCGGAGUCAUCUCAUAAAAUUAGAACCAUACAGAGAAUAUUAACAUAUCCUUUACGCAAGGACGACACGCACAAAAAAGCGUAGCUGGACAACAGA